GGACAUGUGUGUGUGUCUACAUAUGUGUGUGUAUAUGUGUGUGUGUAUCCAAUAUAUGUCUGUGUCUAUAUAUACAUACACACACAUAUACAUA
rnacentral:miRNA from 1 species